GAAAUUCAAGGGAUGACAUGAUAAAAAUAGGGGGCUUAAAGAAGUAUAAAUAAGGGCAAGCAUUUAAGAUUAUUCACUCAUCACUCACUCAUCAUUCUUUCAUCCAUCUUUCAUUCAGUCACUUUCUAUUUGAGAGAGCAAUUCAGAGGUCCUUUUGAGUAGUCAAAUUUGACACUUUGAAGAGUACUUGUGCAUAGGAGCAAAGAAUAAGAAAGGAGGAAAAGCAGCAAAAGCAGUGCCAUAGAGAAACAUCGGAUUUGACUUCUAGUUUCUUUCCCUUUAAUCUUUUAAUUUUGUUGAAGUUGAUAAACAUGAUUUCUAAUUAUUUUUCUGCUUUCAAUUUAAUUAUAAUGACUUAAUUUUGUUGAUGAUAGAUUGAUUGCAUAUCCUUAGCUUUUAUUAUUAAUACUUUGUUGAUGCUGUAAUGCUUUAGUUAUUUAUUCAUUUCAGAUAAAAUCAUGAUCAUGCUACUCAUGCAUAAUUAACGUAGGGAGGCAUAAGAACUAAUUAUUUAAUCCAAACAAGAUGAAAAUUACUAGACACAAUAUUUGAAUGGUGCAUGUCUGAUAUGCUAAUGAUUAAAUUAGUAAUGUUAUUGAGCAAUAGUGCUACCUUGCAUAAGUCCUUUAUGAUGUUUGUUUAAUAAAAUUUGAAGUUGGUUGAGCAUAGAAGUAUGCUAACUGCUUUAUUACUCACAGCUUUAUUACUUGUUAACUGUUAACAACUGUAUACAGGUACACAUUAUUUUAUAUUUUCAUGACAACAAGAAAAUUGUAUUUCUCAACCUUCACGUGCUACUUCAGUGUGCAUGCUUGCAUGGUGUAAAGUUGCUGAGUAAUGCACUGAAGUCGGUCUCUCAAGGUAUCGACUUCAUUUCUCCUCCACAAACUCGAUUAGUUUGCUAAAUAAUUGAGGAUGUCAACUACUUUAUUAAUUUCUAAAACAAACUCAUAUAUACGAGAAAAUAAGCCGAAAUUUUCCAGACAUCACUGUCAAAUUUUCAUAGGUAUUUCUACUUUUAAUAUUGGAUGGAAAACCUCAUAAAUUGUAUAGUAUUGUUGUAUUCAAAACUAUAUCAUAUAAUUACAAUGAAAUGGAUAUAUAUGUAAGUCAUCUCUCUCAUCCAUUCACAAAUAUAAAAGAAAAUUAAAAUAAAAUAAAGAAUAAAAAAUCAAUCCGGCGUGUUUUUUAAUGUUUAUAUAUGUUUAUUUUCUACUUCCAAUUUUGCGUUUCGUUUCAGCAGGAAAUGGUUGCCUCCCAUUUCGAUGCAAAGGCUGGCCAACUCCAUUUCCUAAUUUCCUUGAUGGUGAUGGUCCUGACAUGGGAUAUGCUUUUUUGCUGCAAAAGAUUUACAAUGCAUUUAGAAUAUUCGACAUGUUCAUGUAUGGAUGUAUGUAUGUAUGUUGCCUUACCUCCGUUCUGGAGUACUUGUAGACUUGGAAGGAGUUUUUUUGGUCUUUGAUCCAAUCCCAAUCCCAUUGGUUAUACAGCUUAGUUUGGACUGAUCGAAUUGCCAAAGAAAAUCGGGCUCGGACAAGUGGCUGGUAGAGACAUCGAGAUCAUCUAUGUCAUUAAUAUUGGCGAU
rnacentral:lncRNA from 1 species